UGGGGAAUCUUGCACAAUGGGGGCAACCCUGAUGCAGCGACGCCGCGUGAGCGAUGAAGCCCUUCGGGGUGUAAAGCUCUUUCGGCAGGGAAGAUAAUGACGGUACCUGCAGAAUCAGCUGCGGCUAACUACGUGCCAGCAGCCGCGGUAAUACGUAGGCAGCGAGCGUUGUUCGGAGUUACUGGGCGUAAAGGGUGUGUAGGCGGUGCUCUAAGUGUGGUGUGAAAUCUCCCGGCUCAACUGGGAGGGUGUGCUACGAACUGGAGUGCUCGAGUGCGGGAUGGGAGAGUGGAAUUCCUGGUGUAGCGGUGAAAUGCGUAGAUAUCAGGAGGAACACCGGUGGUGUAGACGGCUCUCUGGACCGCAACUGACGCUGAGACACGAAAGCGUGGGUAGCAAACAGGAUUAGAUACCCCCGUAGUCCCUGAGCGGGCUGGCAAGGCGCAU
rnacentral:rRNA from 1 species